rnacentral:sRNA from 1 species
CCUUUUUGGUUUUCGCGGCAAAACUAGAAUCGAAACCCGGCGGCUUUAAGCGAAAACUUUUGAUGCAACGAUAAAUUGUCAGAUGAAGAGAAUCAGGAGGCGUCGCCGUGGCGCGCCGUAUUCGCGAGCGCCAU